UUGCUUUAUAAAAGGAAAAUGAUGAGGGCCUUGCACACAAAAGCAGGUUUUGUGACACUUUGGUCACAGAAGACAACUAGAACACUGGAAUCUUAGGAAGACCGUUGACAAGCCGAGUUAUGGACUGCAGCCACCAAACGAUGCCCUUCCUUGUAGAAGAGUUUUCCUUUCUGUUCCAUAAGUGAUUUGAAUGGUUUAGUUAAACAGGGGA
rnacentral:lncRNA from 1 species